ACGCCGCGUGAGCGAUGAAGGCCUUCGGGUUGUAAAGCUCUGUGGGGAGGGAAGAAUAAGGGUUGGCUAAUACCCAACUCGAUGACGGUACCUCCUUAGCAAGCACCGGCUAACUCUGUGCCAGCAGCCGCGGUAAUACAGAGGGUGCAAACGUUGUUCGGAAUUACUGGGCGUAAAGCGCGUGCAGGCGGCCUUGCAAGUCGGACGUGAAAUCCCACGGCUCAACCGUGGAAGUGCAUUCGAAACUGCGAGGCUGGAGUCCUGGAGAGGAAAGUGGAAUACUCGGUGUAGAGGUGAAAUUCGUAGAUAUCGAGUGGAACACCGGUGGCGAAGGCGGCUUUCUGGACAGGUACUGACGCUGAGACGCGAAAGCGUGGGGAGCAAACAGGAUUAGAUACCCUGGUAGUCCACGCCGUAAACGAUGAGUGCUAGGUGCCACGGGCUUUGACCCUCGUGGUGCCGAAGCUAACGCGUUAAGCACUCCGCCUGGGGAGUACGGCCGCAAGGCUA
rnacentral:rRNA from 1 species